rnacentral:rRNA from 1 species
CCUACGGGAGGCAGCAGUGGGGAAUAUUGGACAAUGGGGGGAACCCUGAUCCAGCGACGCCGCGUGAGUGAAGAAGGUUUUCGGUAUGUAAAGCUCUAUCAGUAGGGAAGAAAGAAAUGACGGUACAUGAUUAAGAAGCCCCGGCUAACUACGUGCCAGCAGCCGCGGGAAUACGUAGGGGGCAAGCGUUAUCCGGAUUUACUGGGUGUAAAGGGUGCGUAGACGGCGAUGCAAGUCUGAAGUGAAAGGCGGGGGCCCAACCCCCGGACUGCUUUUGAAACUGUAUGGCUGGAGUGCAGGAGAGGUAAGUGGAAUGCGUAGGGUAGCGGUGAAAUGCGUAGAUAUUAGGAGGAACACCAGUGGCGAAGGCGGCUUACUGGCCUGUAACUGACGUUGAGGCUCGAAAGCGUGGGGAGCAAACAGGAUUAGAUACCCUGGUAGUC